GACGAACGCUGGCGGCGUGCUUAACACAUGCAAGUCGAACGGAAAGGCCUCUUUCGGGGGGUACUCGAGUGGCGAACGGGUGAGUAACACGUGAGUAACCUGCCCUUGACUUUGGGAUAACUUCAGGAAACUGGGGCUAAUACCGGAUAGGAGCUCCUGCUGCAUGGUGGGGGUUGGAAAGUUUCGGCGGUUGGGGAUGGACUCGCGGCUUAUCAGCUUGUUGGUGGGGUAGUGGCUUACCAAGGCUUUGACGGGUAGCCGGCCUGAGAGGGUGACCGGCCACAGUGGGACUGAGAUACGGCCCAGACUCCUACGGGAGGCAGCAGUGGGGAAUAUUGCACAAGGGGUGGAAGCCUGAUGCAGCAACGCCGGGGGCGGGAUGACGGCCUUCGGGUUGUAAACCGCUUUCGCUCAUGACGAAGCUUUGUGUGACGGUAGUGGGUAAAGAAGCACCGGCUAACUACGUG
rnacentral:rRNA from 1 species